rnacentral:lncRNA from 1 species
CUCUUACAUUCUUCAAGGUAACCCUUGGGAAUGCUCGUUCAUGAGAAUGCAACUCCUUUUACUAAUUCUGUGAGAUUGAGCUGCUGCUGAGAAGAGACCAUUUCCCUCCACCUGCUCCGAAAGGAAACUAGGGGAAGACAUGCCAUUGGGGACACGGGAGUGACAUGCUUUUUGGCUCUACAGGAAAGAAACUAUAGUGGCACCAUCCAAGGGCCCAGCAUCCCCAGAGGACAAUGCCUCUAGUAGGUCUUCACACAGGACCAUGAACAAAGUUCCAG